rnacentral:misc_RNA from 1 species
GGAAUUAAAUGUUCAGCAUCCGUAUUGUAUGCACUGCGCAGCUCACAAGAUGACGUCAUCAGUUGAAAAUUCCUGAUCUAGACGACUGUGGAGCUGACGCUCGUCUAUUUUACCAUCCAAGUCCUUCACUAAUGUUGGCAUUUUGAAUCUUGGAGCUUUUGAUCAACAAUGGAGGGAGUCAGCAACUACACACCAAAAAGAAUGCGGAUGGAUUGCAAGGUCUAUGUGGGCAACCUUGGCAACAACGCCGCAAAGCACGAAUUGGAGUCAGCGUUCACCAAAUAUGGUCCUUUAGUGAAUGUUUGGGUGGCACGUAAUCCUCCUGGAUUUGCAUUUGUGGAAUUUGAAGACCCAAGGGAUGCUGAAGAUGCUGUACGGGCCCUUGAUGGAACGCGACUGUGUGGUGUUCGUGUGAGAGUGGAGAUGUCCACCGGCCGCUCACGCCGUGACCGUUACCGUUCUCCUUCAAGACGAGGUGGAAGCAGGCGAUCCAGGACUAUCUCGCCCAAAUUACUUCUUGUUCCACCACCACCAUCUACUCCUCCUACUGUUGCUACCACACCACCACCACCAACUCCACCACAACCACCACCACCACCACCACAAGUACUUCCACCACCACCACCACCACCACCACCACUGCUAGCAUCAGCCUGCUUGUACAGUGGGCUUCCAGUAUUGGGUUGUAGGGGAGGUUGGAGCUCCCUGUGGGGGCUCCUUCCACUCAUCACCUGAUCCUACACUGGUGAUGCAACUUGAUGACAUAAAGUGAGUCAAAUGACACUCUUGGGUAGUGAAGCAUGUUCUCCUUCAUAGUGUUCAUGCUUUACUGUCAGUGGGUGGUAGAGUUUACCAGUGUUGGAUAAGGUGUUGGGCCCUGAUCAGCCAAGGCAUGGCGGCGGUGGUGGUGAGCGGCACGUUGCCUGAUGGCCCUCCUACGGCGCGGCACCUCGCGGCACCCGGGCAGCCCUUAUGCGCUUCACGUGUCCUCUUCUCCCCGCCCGUCUACGUCUACCCUCCGCCCACUGCCCGCCCAUCGCCCGCCCGCUGCCUGCGCACCGUCAGGCCUGCCCCCCCACCCACCAUCUUGGGUCUCUGACCCUCCAACGCUCGCUCCACUUUCUUACAUUCAUCGCGCCUCGUCUCAUCAUAACGACUACCCUGCUGUGACGGUCCCGCACUCCCAGAAGGUUUGGCCGUUCUCGUUCCAGGUCACCAAGACGCUCACGGUCCCGCUCCCCCAGGUCUGUUUCACGAUCACCAAGGUAUGAUGAUUACCGCCGACGAAGUGACUCUCCAGACUU